rnacentral:rRNA from 1 species
AGCGAACGCUGGCGGCAGGCUUAACACAUGCAAGUCGAGCGGGCGUAGCAAUACGUCAGCGGCAGACGGGUGAGUAACGCGUGGGAACGUACCUUUUGGUUCGGAACAACACAGGGAAACUUGUGCUAAUACCGGAUAAGCCCUUACGGGGAAAGAUUUAUCGCCGAAAGAUCGGCCCGCGUCUGAUUAGCUAGUUGGUAGGGUAAUGGCCUACCAAGGCGACUAUCAGUAGCUGGUCUGAGAGGAUGAUCAGCCACAUUGGGACUGAGACACGGCCCAAACUCCCACGGGAGGCAGCUGUGGGGAAUAUUGGACAAUGGGGGCAACCCUGAUCCAGCCAUGCCGCGUGAGUGAUGAAGGCCCUAGGGUUGUAAAGCUCUUUUGUGCGGGAAGAUAAUGACGGUACCGCAAGAAUAAGCCCCGGCUAACUUCGUGCCAGCCGCCGCCGUAA